GGGGUGAGUAAUUGUGCUUGGGAAACUGCCUGAUGGAGGGGGAUAACUACUGGAAACGGUAGCUAAUACCGCAUAACGUCGCAAGACCAAAGAGGGGGACCUUCGGGCCUCUUGCCAUCAGAUGUGCCCAGAUGGGAUUAGCUAGUAGGUGGGGUAACGGCUCACCUAGGCGACGAUCCCUAGCUGGUCUGAGAGGAUGACCAGCCACACUGGAACUGAGACACGGUCCAGACUCCUACGGGAGGCAGCAGUGGGGAAUAUUGCACAAUGGGCGCAAGCCUGAUGCAGCCAUGCCGCGUGUAUGAAGAAGGCCUUCGGGUUGUAAAGUACUUUCAGCGGGGAGGAAGGUGUUGUGGUUAAUAACCGCAGCAAUUGACGUUACCCGCAGAAGAAGCACCGGCUAACUCCGUGCCAGCAGCCGCGGUAAUACGGAGGGUGCAAGCGUUAAUCGGAAUUACUGGGCGUAAAGCGCACGCAGGCGGUCUGUCAAGUCGGAUGUGAAAUCCCCGGGCUCAACCUGGGAACUGCAUUCGAAACUGGCAGGCUGGAGUCUUGUACAGGGGGGUAGAAUUCCAGGUGUAGCGGUGAAAUGCGUAGAGAUCUGGAGGAAUACCGGUGGCGAAGGCGGCCCCCUGGACAAAGACUGACGCUCAUGUGCGAAAGCGUGGGGAGCAAACAGGAUUAGAUACCCUGGUAGUCCACGCCGUAAACGAUGUCAUUUGGAGGUUGUGCCCUUGAGGCGUGGCUUCCGGAGCUAACGCGUUAAAUCGACCGCCUGGGGAGUACGGCCGCAAGGUUAAAACUCAAAUGAAUUGACGGGGGCCCGCACAAGCGGUGGAGCAUGUGGUUUAAUUCGAUGCAACGCGAAGAACCUUACCUGGUCUUGACAUCCACAGAAUUUUCCACAGAUGGUAUUGGUGCCUUCUGGGAACUGUGAGAACAAGCUGCUGCAUUGCUGUCGUUCAGCUCGUGUUUGUGGAAAUGUUGGGUUAACUCCCGCAACGAACCGCCAACCCUUUAUUCUUUUUGUUGCCAGCGGCUUCCGCCCGUGCACUACAAACGAAGACUGCUAGUGAUAGACUUGCAGGAAGGUGGAGAUGAACUCAAGUCAUCAUGUCCGUAGAUCUACGGGCUACGAACCUGCUUACCAUGGGUGCUAGCUAAUACAACCGAACUUCGCGUAAGAGCAGCGACUCAGUAAAGUUGCUCUCCUCAUCGGAUGAAUCUUGGUACUUGAUCAUUGAAGUCGGAAAUCGCUAGCUAACUGCUAAUCCAAUGGCUACGGUGAAUGAGAUUGCGAACUGAACAAUCGUCGAUCACCCGGAAUGCGGUGCGAAAGUGAUCUAGGUACGAUCA
rnacentral:rRNA from 1 species